rnacentral:tRNA from 1 species
UGCCGCAUAGCUCAGUGGUAGAGCAGCUGACUGUUAAUCAGCGGGUCGUAGGUUCGAGUCCUACUGCGGCAGCCA